AUUGAACGCUGGCGGCAGGCUUAACACAUGCAAGUCGAGCGCGCGGCGGCCGGGUGAGUAAUGUCUGGGACACUUCCUGAUGGAGGGGGAUAACUACUGGAAACGGUAGCUAAUACCGCCUACCAUCCGAUUUGCCCAGAUGGGAUUAGCUAGUAGGUGGGGUAAUGGCUCACCUAGGCCACGACCCCUAGCUGUGCUGAGAGGAUGACAAGACACACGGGAACUGAGAAACGGGGCAGAAUCCUACGGGAGGCAGCAGUGGGGAAUAUUGCACAAUGGGCGAAAGACUGAUGCAGCCAUGCCGAGUGGGUGAAGAAGGCCGUCGGGUUGUAAAGCACUGUAAGCGAGGAGGCGUUAAUAGCAGAAGAAGCACCGGCUAACUCCGUGCCAGCAGCCGCGGUAAUAC
rnacentral:rRNA from 1 species